rnacentral:rRNA from 1 species
AGUGAACGCUGGCGGUAGACCUAACACAUGCAAGUCGAACGGCAGCACAGUAAGAGCUUGCUCUUACGGGUGGCGAGUGGCGGACGGGUGAGGAAUACAUCGGAAUCUACUUUUUCGUGGGGGAUAACGUAGGGAAACUUACGCUAAUACCGCAUACGACCUACGGGUGAAAGCAGGGGAUCUUCGUACCUUGCGCGAUUGAAUGAGCCGAUGUCGGAUUAGCUAUUUGGCGGGGUAAAGGCCCACCAAGGCGACGAUCCGUAGCUGGUCUGAGAGGAUGAUCAGCCACACUGGAACUGAGACACGGUCCAGACUCCUACGGGAGGCAGCAGUGGGGAAUAUUGGACAAUGGGCGCAAGCCUGAUCCAGCCAUACCGCGUGGGUGAAGAAGGCCUUCGGGUUGUAAAGCCCUUUUGUUGGGAAAGAAAAGCAGCAGGUUAAUACCCCGCUGUUCUGACGGUACCAAAAGAAUAAGCACCGGCUAACUUCGUG